rnacentral:rRNA from 1 species
UGGGGAAUUUUGGACAAUGGGCGAAAGCCUGAUCCAGCAACGCCGCGUGUGUGAAGAAGGCCUUCGGGUUGUAAAGCACUUUUGUCCGGAAAGAAAUCCUUGGCUCUAAUACAGUCGGGGGAUGACGGUACCGGAAGAAUAAGCACCGGCUAACUACGUGCCAGCAGCCGCGGUAAUACGUAGGGUGCAAGCGUUAAUCGGAAUUACUGGGCGUAAAGCGUGCGCAGGCGGUUUGCUAAGACCGAUGUGAAAUCCCCGGGCUCAACCUGGGAACUGCAUUGGUGACUGGCAGGCUAGAGUAUGGCAGAGGGGGGUAGAAUUCCACGUGUAGCAGUGAAAUGCGUAGAGAUGUGGAGGAAUACCGAUGGCGAAGGCAGCCCCCUGGGCCAAUACUGACGCUCAUGCACGAAAGCGUGGGGAGCAAACAGGAUUAGAUACCCCUGGUAGUCCACGCCCUAAACGAUGUCAACUAGUUGUUGGGGAUUCAUUCCUUAGUAACGUAGCUAACGCGUGAAGUUGACCGCCUGGGGAGUACGGUCGCAAGAUUAAAACUUAAAUGAAUUGACGGGGUCAUAGCUGUUUCCU